rnacentral:tRNA from 1 species
CGAUCAGAGGGGCAACCGCCCCAUUAGUAGGUUUACAGCCCACCACCUGUUCAGCCACCUGACC